UAAAAGCUUGAAUGCUGCCUUAAAAAAAAAAACCUGACAAGCUUAAUUUAUUCUUCAAAAGGAGAAACUCUUUCAAAUAUCAACUAACAGUAUUCUUGCAAUGAUCUCAAAAAUAUUUGAUAGAUACCAUACGGACACAACCUUAUGAUUGCUUGUAGGUAAUUCACGGAUCUCCACACGUCUAACUGAAAACGAAGUCGCGAAAAUUCAAUCUACAAAAAGACGGAUGAUUUUCAUAAAUAUGCUCUAUUGUUAGUCGCUUCAUUAUGUACAGGUUCUUUACAAACAGCGGCUGGAUCAUCCCACGGUUAUAGAAGAUCCAAAAACAUCAUCAAAAACAGAAGAAUUGGCUGGUGCAGACACAGGCCGCCCAAGCUCUGUCACAGGCUCUUUCACAG